rnacentral:lncRNA from 1 species
CCAGAGUUCUAUCAUAAGAGACUAUGCUGGUGGAAAAGGUACAAGUGACUCAUUCAUGAGCAACCAGGACCACCUGUUUCCCGACAUUGCGGCCGGAAAACAGCCCGACCAGGGCCGUCGGACCACUCUCGAGCCCUUCGACAGUGUCUUCAAUAUAUACAAUCCUUCCCUCUUUAGUGGGAGGCAAAACCAUCUCCAGGAACUUCGGGUAGAGAUGAUAAUAAUCAAGCACAUUGAAACCUUCCAUUCGAACUCGCUUCGCGAUAAGUUGCAUCAGGUUGUGCACGCCUUCAGGCUGCUCAAGGUUGUACUGCGAGAUCAUUCCACAUACCGCAAUUCGACCAUGAAGCUUCAUGUUGAGUAGCACCACAUCCAGCGUCUUUCCCCCGACAUUUUCAAAGUAGAUGUCGAUCCCCUCAGGGAAGUACCUGAAAGAUUUCGAGAUGGAAAACGGUCAGCUCGAGCCGGCUUUGCGCUCGUGCGCAUACAUGUAAGGUGCUUGAUUCGCUCAAUCGUCAUUAGUGUGUUCCGAACUAACCUUUUCAGUGCUGCAUCCAGAUUUGAUUCUUCCUUGUAGUUGAAAGCUUCAUCGAAUCCGAGCUUGUUCUUCAGCAAGUCGACCUAUUUUGCGGAAAUGGAUGAGGAAAUGAAGAGAUUAGUUAACAAAGGGAGUACUUCUGCAUUUAUUUUAGCGGAUUGAUGAGGAUAUACAUCCGACACGGCGAUCCUUGCAGAUGCUAAAUGUGAUCGGAAAACCAAAUUAGCGCCAUGUCGGAGGGGAGAUGUUCCCUAAGCAACUGUCAUUCGAGGAAAUUCAAUGUCGGACAAAUGUGAGAAGAUUACCUUUUCUUUGCUGCCGGCACUGCCAACAACAUAGCAACCGAACAACUUCGCAAGCUGGCCAACAAGCUGACCAACCGCCCCUGAUGCGGCCGAUAUAAAAACAGUUUCUCCUUUCUUAGGAGAGCAUAACUCAAUAAACCCGCCAUAAGCAGUAAGGCCUGGCAUGCCUGCAGAGUUCAGGUUUGUAGAAACUAGACUGAGUGCCAAAAUUUUGCCAAAGCUAAAAAGCAGGAGCGCUACGGCUAUGGCUAACUAUCACGAGACAACGUUACUUAUCCAGAAGAGAAGCUAUCAAGAAGUUCCUAAAUUACACACUCGUUGCAUAAUUCAAUCAACUAACAGUGCUGCAGAACUUGCAAGUGCAUCAACAGGAAGACUUGGAGUGAAAAAUAUAGUUCAUUAACAUUGAAGGAGCAGAUACGUUAGAUGAUUGAAGAGUGUACCCAAAAGACCGGUGUAGUAAGAGAGAGGAACAUCGGUGUGUUCGAUCUUAAAGCAAGUCUCUGGCGCUGGAAGUAGACUGUACUCCUCCCAUCCUGUGAGGCCCCAAACCAAAUCGCCUUUCUUGAAAUUCGGAUGCCCGGAUUCCAGGACUCUCGCCACUCCAAGUCCAGUAACAGGCUGCACAGAUGUGUUGACACAUGGUAACGCAUUUGGCGAACAUGAACUUCGAAUCAAUUCAUCAGAAUCACAAGCACAAUGGUUACAGAGCCGUGUUCAAUGUUGUUUCAUUUCAAACAAUGAUGUACUUCUUUGUUCUAUACCCUGUGAAAACUACUUUCAUCAGUCAUCAUCCUAACACAGUGAAUGGAAGCGAUGAAAGCAAGCCGUGUUGGUUUGUUAAAUGUGAUUUUAUCGGACAGCCCAAUUGCAAAACGUGAAAGCUUCUCUACCUACGAGCAUAAACUCGGUUCUUUGAAUUCACCAAAUCCUCCAACACAUUUUUCAGGAACUAUUGGGACACAAUUAGAGCAAUGGUUAUGCUUUCAAAGACUCCUUGAAUCGGGUCGUACCUCAGAGAUCACAAGAACUCAACCCAUAAACAAGAAUAGGAUAUAAAGAAAGAAUCAAUCGUUUGAUAGAAUCACAGUUGUGACAAAAAUACAACGUAUAACCAGUCCUGAAAUACUAUUUAGCCAGCCUGAGAAUCAACAAUCCAAGAACAGUAGCAAGCAAAAGCAUGCAAAGUCAAAUUCUCAGAAACCAAUGUAAAACGACACAAAUUUUCACAAGGAACAAAACAAAAAGAAGAGUUGAGCCGGGCUCACCGAACCAGGUUGGAAGGAGGGGAUAUAGCUCUCAGCCGGGUCGGUGAGCUUCCGCAUACGGCCCCUCAUGUAAGGAUCACAGGAGAGGUAGAGAUUCUUCACCAGCACUCCCUUGGAGCCUUCGGCGACAGCACUCGUCACUUCAAUGGUCGACUCCGUCACCUCCAUGUCUGACUCUUUGGGGAAGGCUCCCUUCGCAAGGAAGUCCCUGAAUAUCACCUGCUUGUUCCUCAUCCUUUCUUCUCUUUGCUUCUCUCUCCUCUCGACGGAAUGCGCGAAAGAUCCAAGAAAGCUAAAAACUCAGGAGAGGUGCGGGGUUUUGGAGCGUCUCUAUACGCAGAGAUGGAGUGAUGUUUCUCAGCUGUGAUGGGGUGGAAAUACCAAGACCCACUAGAACAGAUAUUGGCAAUAUUGGCGAGAUUUGGUCUCCUAUUCAAGGAAAGGAUAGAUUGUGGGCAAAUAUCUGUAUUGAUAGUUUUCCUAUUUUUGAAAUUUCCCUUUUUUUCAGCUGUGAUGGGGGUGGAAAUGCUAAGAUCCACUAGAACAGACAAGUCUCGCAACAAGAAUCGCACACGGCAAUGAUGCUAGGUAAAGCAAGAACCUGACAAACUCACGCAUCAAGCAAACAAGCCAAGCAAGUGCAGCCACUCAUGCAUCAGAUCAACACAGUAGAGCAGGAACUCAUGCUCCGUUUGACCGUCUCAGCCUGCCAAGGAACUUCAAAAACCCCAGAAAAAGACGACGACAAUGACGUCGGGCGUCCAUUGUCAACCCGCGAACAGACAGCGUUCAUACUGUCUGAACCACGUCUGCACGAUAGCAUCCACGCAUUGCUCCAUAAAGAAGACAACAAGAUGGAUUUUUUUAUGAAGGUCGUUUUCCCGAAUGGGGUUACCAUCUUGGACAGAUUCAACCCUCCAGUCUUUAUCACUGUCGAUCGACUUCAUUGAGACGAUCAAGUCCAUUGCAUAAUGUUAAUAUCUUCCUCCACGUCACAGAUUCAACCCCUAGUGUUUAACCCCCAAUAAGUGAUUUUCCGCCAACAUUGCGAGAUAGACUUAAUUAGCAAGACGUGAAAAUAUUUAUGACUCCAUUAGCACAAUUAAAAGAAUUAUGGUUAAAUUUGCAAAAGUGCAAUAGAUGUAUGACUUUUUAGUAAUUUUCUUGAAUUCAAUUUUGUAUGUAUACAAUACUUUUUGUAAUGAUUGUUCCAUUUUGUCUUUCUCUAAACUCUGGUUAAUUACUCGAAAAAUUCAAGGUAGCCUAGCCUAGCACGAAACCACCUUAUUUUAUGCAUGCACCAAACUUAUUAUGCAUGAUGUUUUCUCCUUGAGCUAUUGGGCCUUCACGAGCGUGAAUCUAUAACCAAGAAAAGAUGAAUUUUUUAAAAGGAGAUGAUGGCAGCUGCAUGAACAUGUUACUUAUGUGGACAAAUUUUAUUAAAUUUUUUAUAUGUCUUUCAAUUUUUUAUUAUCUUUUCUCUUUCUUUUUCUUUUUUGUUUAUUUUUUUUAAUUUUCUUUCUUUGCUAGUUGCCCAGCCUUGAUGAUGGCUAGUGACCAGCCACAAGCUACAAUUAGCGAAGGUCGCCCUCAUAAACCUCAAGCAAGGUCACCCUCACUAGGAUCUAGCAAGGGGCGACCUCAUGACCUCGAGCAAGGCUAGCCCUCAUCGGCCUUCAAGGAGGGUCAGUCUCGACAUUUCUAUUCAAAUCAAAGAGACAAAAAGGCUCCGUAUUUCUCCAAAAAGGCUCAAUCUCAACCUUGAUUCUCGGCGGAAGAAGUCUUAAAAGAAGUCAUCUUGCCUCUGACCUGACCUUGCUAAAGGCUAAUGAUGGUUGGCCUUGCUAGUUUCAGGUGGGGUACCAACCUAAAAAACUCUAAAUUGGUACUACUGUAAUAAAUUUACCGAAAAUUAAUUAUUUUGUCACAAAAAACUCUAAAUUGGUUCACUAACGAUAAAUUUACCCUCUACUCGUUUCCGUUAAAUUUUACCGUUAAAUCGCUGAGUUGGAUGACACGUAACAAUUGACGACGAGCAUGUCAAUUUGAGGUUUUACCCUUCAUUUGUCACAAGUGUACCGAUUUUUUUUUUCAUAGUAUUAAUUCAAUUUAACGAAAACUAACAUAAGGUAAAAUUAUCAUAAAUGUACUGGUUUAGAUUUUUUUGUGGCAAGAGCAUUGGUUUGAGGUAACUUUGUUACAUAUGUAUGAGUUUGGAUUUUUUCAUGUAUUGACCCAAAAAAAAUACCAAUUAAUUUUAUCAUGAAAAUUUGACAAAUGGAGUACAAAAAAUAAUAAUUUUAAAUAAGUAGUAAUCUUUUUUACAUGAAUGACUACUUUUAACACGUAUUAACAUGUUUAAGCACAACUAUAUACCAAACUCGAAAAUGACACCGAUUAAAUGUACAUACAUUUUAAAAUGAAAUAUGUCAAAAUAUACGAACGCUAAAAUCAAUGUACUUAUUACUUCUGACCAAAAAAAAAAAAAUCAAUGUAUGAUAUGUAAACAUGGAAUAAUAUAUAUAUAUUAUAGAUGGAGUAAUUUGUAUGGAAUAAAUAAACAAAUAUGACGUAAUGUUUCCGAUAAUCUUCUUCAUCUCAACAAGGAUUUAGUUGAUGCAAUAAAAAUAAAGAUGACUCGUCUAUCAAUUAGAUUCCUCAAAAAUAGGGGCCACAAAUGAAAAUACUCUUAAUGAUAAUGAAUAGACCAUAAUUGGAUUUUGCGUGUAUAUUAAAAAAAUGAAAUUUCAGAUCCAACUGUAUAAGUCAAAACGAUGAAUCGUAUUUCUUAUUUAUUUACGAAAUAUAAGUAAUUGAACUUAUUCUAAAAAAUAUUACAGUUGAACUUAAUAACUCACAUAGCUCUAUCACAAGAGACUGCCAAUGGAAAAGGAGAAGAUCCUAUCGGAAACACAAGCGAAAGAGACUAUGCCGAUGGAAAAGGUACAACAAGUGACUUAUUCGAGAGAAACCAGGACCACCCGUUUCCCGACAUUACAACCAGAAAACAGCUUGACCAGGGUUGCUGGACCGUUCUUGAGCCCUUCGAAGGUGUCUUCCACAUAUACUAUCCUUCCCUCUUUUAUCUGAGGCAAAACCAUAUCCAGGAACUUUGGAUAGAGAUGAUAAUAAUCAAGCACACUGAAACCUUCCAUUCGCACCCGCUUCAUGCUUAUUUGAAUUAGGUUGGGCAUGCCUUCGGGCUGCUUGAGGUUGUACUGCGAGAUCAUUCCACAUACCAUGAUUCAACCAUGAAGCUUCAUAUUGAGUAGCACUGCAUCCAACGUCUUUCCCCCGACAUUUUCAAAGUAGAUGUUGAUCCCCUCAGGGAAGUGAAAGAGUAUGAAUUUGAGUUUGAUCGCACACAAUCGGUGUGGAGAUUUGUAUUAUAUUUAUAAUAUGUACAUGAGCAGGAAAAACACAAUUAAAAAGAUUGUACAAAGACAACAAUCUAUAAUAUUAGUGAUAGCAAUCUACAAUAUCAGUACAAAUUAUGAAAAAUUUGCUUUAUCAACGAAAUUGAAACAAAUCAUGGAAGAUCGGCCCAAUUAAUGGGAUUGUCACAUAUUGUAGAAGAUUGUUGUAUCAUAAAUCACACCCCCCUCAAGUGAAAUGGUGGCAGAGUCACUGUGAGCUUGUCGCGUAAAAUAAGAAACCGAGAGAUGGAUAGAGGUUUUGUCAUAAUAUCAGCUGUUUGAACAUGUGUAGGAAUGAAGCGAACUUCCAUCUACUUCUUUUUAAUUAAAUCAUGAACAAAAUGAUAGUCAAUUUCUAUGUGCUUGGUUCGAACAUGAAAGAUGGGAUUGACAGCCAAAUAGAUUGACACUAUAUUAUCACAAAGAACAAGUGGUGGCCAAUGUAGAGUGUAUCGAAGAUCUCGAAGGAGUUGUGAUAGCCAUAAUAAUUAAGAGGCUACGUUAGCCACCCCUUUGUAUUCCGAUUCAGUGCUGGAUCUAGCAACGGUUGGUUGCUUUUUAGAACUCCAAGAAACUAAGUUGGGACCAAAAUAAAUGCAAUAGCCACUAGUAGAUUUUUAGUCAUUAGGGCAGCCAGCCCAGUCGGCAUCUGUAAAUGCAGUGAAGGUCAAUUGGUGAAUAGGUCGCAAGGUAAUACCAUAAUGAAUAGUAGCCUUAAGAUAGCGCAAAACCUGUUUGACAGCUGACUAAUAAUCUUCAGUUGGACAAUGCAUAAAUUGACACACUUUAUUGAUGGCAAAGGAUAGAUCUAACCUAGUAAGAGUGAGGUAUUGCAGUGCCCCAACCGUACUUCAAUAAGUGGAGACAUCAGUUAGUGGUUCACCACUUUGUUUCAACAACUUAGAAGCCGAGGGAGCCAUAGGUGAUGAGCAAGGUUUUGCAUUACCCAUGCCUAUACGAGUUAGAAGAGUGGUGGCAUACUUGGAUUGAGUGAGGGACAGCCCAGUAGAGGAUCUAUGGGCUUCGAUGCCAAGAAAGUAUGAUAAAUUUCCCAAAUCGGUGAUUGCAAACUCAGUGCCAAGGCGAGUGAUUAAUUCGGUGAUGGAGGAGGUAGAGCUCCAAGUAAUAAUAAUAUCGUCCACAUAGAUGAGAAGAAGUAGAAUGUGGUUAGAGCAAUGCUGUAUGGAUAAUGAAGAAUAAGUAGUGGAAGCCACAAACCCGAUAGAUAACAAAUAUGAACUUAGCCAAGAAAACCAUGCUCUUGGGGCUUGUUUUAGCCCAUAUAGAGCUUUUGGAAGACGACAUACAUGGCCAGGAUAAUGUGGAUCAACAAAUCAUUGGGGUUGCUUCAUGUAGACUUCUUCUUUAAUGGUGCCAUGGAGAAAGACAUUCUUAAUGUCCACUUGACGUAGAGACCAAUUAUAUGUGAUAACUAAGGAGAGAACAACUCGAAUCGUUGUCGGUUUGAUAAUUGGACAAAAAGUUUCAUCAUAGUCCAAGCUAGCCUAUUGAGUAAAGCUCUUCGCAAUGAGUCGUGCCUUGUAUCUAUCAAUGGAGCCAUCAUAAUUGGUUUUUAGGCGAUUGACCACUUUCAUAAAAGGGUGAUAAGGAACCAAUUCAUAAGUGCCAUUUUGAAUGAGAGCAUUGAAUUCACUGGCCAUAACUUGUUGCUAGUUAGGGUCUUUGUUUGCAACGGAAAACAAGUGGGAUCACUUGGUGUCAAGCUUGAGUGAAAACAAGAAUAAAGUAUUGCUUAGGGCCUGUUUGUUUGUGUUCUUUUUUGGUUCCCCGGAAUACAAUUUUUGUUCUUUUGUUCCGGGGAACAAAAAAAACAGAAAUGUGUUUGUUUAUACUUUUGUUCCCGGGAACAAAAAAUCUAUUUUUUUGUUCUUGGAAAUAGAUUUGAAAUAGAAACAAGAAAUAAGAAAAAUUGUUUAUUGUUUCUGGGAACACUUCCUAGAAACAAUUUUUCUCUCUCCUAUUUUUCAUUUCUCUUUCUUUUCUUCUUUUUUCAUUGGCCGAUCGCCAACCUCAGCCAUGGUAGGCGACCAGCCGUUGAGGGCCGGCGACCUCGCCGGAGUGUCGCUGGCCAGUAGCGAGGCUUGGCCUUGCCUUGGCUGAGCGAGCUCAAGCUCACCCAGAUUCAAUGAGGUCGAGCCUCGCCCAGCCAACCUCGUCGGGGGUCGGCGAGCUUCGUCGUGGCUGGGCGAGGCCGCCGACCCUCAUCAGCCGGCAACUGGCCAUAAGGAAGAAAAAAUAAAAUAAAAUAUUAAAAAAUUAUACAAUUUUACCAAACGUAUUUCUGUUCUUUUUCUAUUCUAAGAACAAAAAUUUUGUGCAGUUACCAAACACGUUCUUCUAUUAAAAAAUCGUUCCCUAGAAUAGAAAUAGUUUUUUCUAUUUCUAUUCCCUGGAACAAUUUUUGAACAAAAACGUUACCAAACGUACCUUUAGUAGAAUGAAAAACCUUUGGUUUACGAAUGUUAUUUUUUAGAUGAGUGACCAUUGGAUGGGUAGAAGUUGACGAUUGAAGUUGAGAAGAUUGUAAUGGUGGAGCUUCUGGAGAAGAGGAUUCAGAAGAUUGCUGAAUAUGUGAUGAGGAGUCAUCCAUGAUAGUCAAUGGACUUGAUGGAGUUGAUGUGGUGGUGGACACCUCCUGAAACUGUGGGGGCUUACUAGAGGAAUAACCAAUACAAACAGGAGAACUAGGCGUUGGUGAUGACAAUUGACCGGAUUGUGAUUUAGCAAAUGGGAAGAAGUUCUCUUGGAAAAUCACAUGGCGAGAGACAUAUAUUUGGCCAAUGCUACAACAAAGACAAUGAUAGUCAUGGUGAUGAGGAGAAUAGUCAAUGAAGAUACAUUGCAUUGUUCUGUCAUCAAAUUUAUUGCGAGUAUAAGGGCACAACCAAGGGUAGCAUGCACAUCCAAAAACACGCAAUUGUAAAUAAUCGGGGUUUUGGCCAAACAAUUUCUCAUAAGGAGACAAUCCACUCAAGACCGUUGUAGGCAUGUGGUUAAUUAGAAAGACCACAGUGAGGAAAACACCAUUCCAAUAUAUACGAGGAAUAGAAACUCGGGUAAGCAAUGUGAUGCUAGUUUCCACAAUAUGACGGUGUUUGCACUUAGCCCGACCAUUUUGUUCCUGUGUGUGCGGGCAUGAAAGACGAUGUAGGAUGCCAUGAAGACGGAGAUAAGGAUCAAAUUUCUUAUACUCACCACCUCCAUCAAUUUGGAGGGCCUUGAUCUUACAAUUGAAAUAUUUUUCCACUUGGGAUUUAAAUUGCACAGAAGUAGACAAUGCAUCAGAUUUCACAGUAAGUGGAAAAAGCCAUUUAUAUCCACUAUAAGCAUCGAUAAAAAUGAUAUAAUAACGAAAACCAUUAACUAAAGUAAUGGGAGAUGGUCUCCAUAGAUUAGAAUAAAGUAUCUCCAAAGGAGCAUUAUAAAUAGUUGAUGAUCUAGUAAAGGGAAGAUGACGCGACUUGCCCAAGUGACAUGAUUCACAAAAACUAGAUGAGGAAGACGGAGAUAUCAACAAGUCAUGCUUUGAAAUAACUGAAAAAGUAAUGCGGGCAGUUGGAUGACCCAAGCACUCAUGCCAAAUAGAAGUAGAACUCGUUCACCAAUGAAGCAGGAUGGAGCUAGUGGUGUGACAUCCUGAUUUUCAAGUCUAAUUUCGAUGAGAUGAAAUUGACUUUUCAUCGACGCGCUUAUGGCCUUAUUCUCUGAGAGGGCCCCUCACGAGAUAACUAGCCUAUCGGGUGAAACCAUUAAGGGAUUUUAACGCAAUAGACUUGAGAAUUCGACCAGGAAUCGACUGCUCGACCGUGUUGAUCUGCAAAGGUCAUUACGAUACUGUCAGAAAUCGAUCAGAGACCGGAGAUAGGUCGAUUCGAUUGAGAUAUGUGAUCAAAGUGUGAGUGAUUCCACCUGAUUGCAAAAUACUCAUAAAUCAAUACUAGACCAAUUUUUUUUAUCGUUUUGGUACCCGAUGCCUGUAAAUAAAAUCUCGAGAUUUUCACGACAACUGAGGGUCGCCAAUGUGUCGAAGAUGUAUAAUGUGACUCGAGAUAAAUCGAUCAUGGGUCAAUUGCACCAAAAAUUUCUAAAAGUUACUCGGUAGACUAGGUCACGCUAAAAGCGCGCCGAAUUGAAAUUAACCGCGAAUUUGAACUCGAUUUUAGAAAUCGAAAGUUCUAUCAUGUCACAAUCUAUUUUAGGAACGUCGACUCACCCUCCGAAGAAUUUUCAGAGAUUCCAAGAUUUUUGCAGAAAACCGUUUCGGACGUCGCAGAAAUUAGUGGAAAUUUGGAUCGGCUAAAUUAAUUGGAUUUUUGGCCUCUCUACCGAGCCUUUGGGUGUCGAGGACUUGCAGAAAUGGUAUGGCCUUUUUCUUCUACAACAAUGGACAUCAAAUUUGAGAAAUUUGAUAAAGAAAUUAAAGACCAAAAAUGAGUGAAAUUCGGAACUAGAAGAGGGCAGUAAUUUUGGGCUUCAAAAUUGGAUUAUUGGUAGAAUUAUCUUAUAAGAAAGUAAUGGGGGACAAUGCAUUUAAGUGGGUGGAUAACCCUUGUGAACUUUAUUUCCCUUGUCUUCUCUUGCAAGCUGGCCGACUCCCCCUAUCCAUUCCCUCUCUCCUUUCUUUGUUGCUUCUCAUUCCCUUUUUCAUUCGACGAAGCUCAGCUUUCAUUUUCAUUUUCCUCUGCAAUUUCGCUUCUUCACCGAGCCAAUCGCUGCCCCACAUCAGCGGUCAACCUCACUGCUUUGAUCCUUUGCAGCAGACCGCACCAUCUCCCUCCACGAAGUUGAGGCCAUCAUCAUCCCGGCAUUCCCGUUUUCUCUUCAUCAACGCCAGCGAAGACCAACUCCCCUGCUCCACCGCCUCUGCCAGCGUCGCCCGAAGCUGCUUCUUCUCUUUGCCGCUUCUCCACCCACACGGCCACGUGGUCUUUUUCCCCAGCAGCUUUCGUCUUCAGCUCCGUGGCACACGUCUUCAUGGUCAUCAACCUGCAUUGAAGACCACCGAAGCUGACCGCCCUCAGCUCCACGCGGCCAGCUCGCCUUCAGCUCCUUGGACACCAGAGACGCUUGCUCAUCCAUGCGUCUUCAGCUUCGAUCGAACGGCCCCCAAUUCCACUGGUUUCCUCAGCCGAGAAGCCCAGCCCACCGAGUCUCCAUCCUCUCACUGCCAGCACGCCUCCGCUAGUGAAGUCCAGUAAUUCUUCAGCCCAGUCCGCGAGUGUCUUGAGCAGCCCAUUGGAUUUUGGCCCAGUCCAAUGAAGCCCAACAAGAUCAGAAGCCCGCAAUUUUGAGGCCCAAGCCCGCGAAGUCAGCCCGCUUCAGGCCCAGUCCAAUUCAAAAGCAAAUCUCAUAUUGGACCGAGAUUGUUGGGCCCGUUUUAGGCCCGGUCCGAGUGUCCGUCGACAUCGCCGAAAAUUCAGAUUUCGGCCGCCGUCAUGCCGUCGUCGCGGUGAACCAGUUUCCGCAAUUAACCAGUGAGUUUAUUUACUAAACUCUUCUUAGUAGACUAAUGACGUCCAAGGGGUGUUUAGAUUUAUUUAAUUAGGAAUUAGGUGGUUAGUUAGAUUAAUUUAGUGAUUUAAUUAUGCAGUUAUGCAUGUUAGGUGGUUAGAUUAGAUUAAGUGAGGCCUAGAUAAAUUGUGUUAUUUAGCUAGAAGGGUUAGGGAAUUUUCCGGGUCCGUAUUGGUAUUUAAUUUAGCAAUUUUGGCCUAGGUUGGCAUUUUAGUAUUUAAAUUGAUUUAUUUAAUUAAUUUUAGAAAUUUAAUUAUUAAUUAUUUUCCGGAAAUUAGUCUUGGAUAGCCGGUGACCGGAAUUGCGUGCUAAUUCCAAUGGUGUGUUCAAUUUCUGUAAUUGGAUGUUACUUUGUGCAAAUCGAGUGCCGAUUGGAAAUUUGAGUAUUCAAUUCCAAAAAUUAUGAAUUUCGAUAUUUAUUCAGAAAAUCCUAGGUGUUGGGUUUUAACACCAAAAAUAGUUUUAUACACUAUAUAAACCAGUGGGAUUUUAAAUUCGAGGAUAUCAAUUUUUCUAGUGUGAAUUGACCGUGUAUCCACACACGACUAUUUUAUCAUAUAUUUCUAAUACGAAGAAAAUAGGCCAGGUUCACUAUUUUAAUUGAGACAUUUGAGUGCAAUGCAUAGUGUCCUGGGCCGAGAUUGAUUGGUUGUGUGUUGAUUAAGAGAAACCGUCUUGGGCUGUUAAGCCGAACAUUACCCAUUCAUUGGGACUCGAGUUACAGUAGAUUCUGGACUUACGCCCCUUCGGGGAAGCCAUCUAAUUAAGAGACGUCGCUGUGCUCAUGGUGGGAGACGAAGCCUGGCUAUGCCAGAAGACACCGAACUUAUGAGUAGGUUGUACUCGGGUUGCAGUAGAUUCUGGACCUACGCCCCUUCGGGGAAGUCGUCUAAUUGAGAGACGUCACCGUGCUCAAAGAAGGUGAGAUGACGCCUGGCAAUGCCAGAAGAUCGCCAAUUUUGGAGUUGGCCGUACCCUUGAGGGGUGCAAUUAACAAUUGGAAUACAUGAUGGUUGAGUUUGAUGCACCUAAUUAUGAGACCAAAACUGUAUGGCAUGGAACGGGUUCCUGGUGAUUAAUUGAAUUGAUGAGGUGUUUCAGUUGUUAUGUGCAUUAAUUAUAUGCAUUGCGAUAUAAAUUGUACUAACUUGCAGGAAGGAACUGAGUCGAGGUAAGUUUCAUGUUCUAAUUGUGUGGUUGUGUGACUAGAGCGCCCUGAAGCAUAUUUCCCUCCUAAUCAGAGUUUAGUGGGUGGACUUGCUGAGAUAUUGUCUCACUGGUUAUUGAAUAACCAUUUUCAGGUUCUUAGAAUGUGGUCAUGGAAGACCAAGGUCUCAAAGUCUAAGGAGGAGUAUGGAUGAUCGGUGGAUAUGUCUUAUCAGAAUGUCAUAGGAUAGCCUCUUGUGAGAGUCGACCUUUUUGUAGGCUUUCGACUAAACUCGUUUUGUGCCUGAAUCUCGUUGUUUGUAAAAGUGUGCUUUUAUGAAUUGAUAUCCUGCUUUCUAUCCUGAGAUGAUUAUUGUCAAGGGAUUUAUUUUCGCUUCCGCAUGUGCUUAAAAAUUAAUGGGUCGGCGACUUGUCCUGAAAAGUCGCAAAAUAUUAUCGACCAAAGAGGGAUGAGCACGCGCUCGGGGUUCGAGGCGUGACAAGUGGUGAUUUAUUUGACUGCAGAGGGACCUUAUUGGUGGUACGUGCGUUAUUAAGAUAAUAAAGUCCAUUCUUAUGCUGACCUUUGAGUAGAAGGUUCCCCGAGGAUAGAUCCUUAACACAACAUAAAGCAUGAAAUUCAAAUACCACAUUGUUGUCUUUGGUAAAUUGAGAGACUGAUAAUAAAUUCUUCUUGAUAGAGAGAACAUGAUAAAUAUUUCAUAGUUUAAAAGAACUAGUAAGAGAAUGUAAUAUGGAAUGACCGAUAUAUGAUAUUUGCAAACCUGACCAUUUGCAGUACGGAUUAUUAAAAACGUCAAUGCCCAAAUAUAAUUCAAGCCUCAGUUACUUAGACCCACAGAAGAAUCAAGUGACACAAAGCCAUAUCCAUGCAGAAGCAAUUAAGAUAUUGAAGGGAGAAUGAAAAGAGAAGGCUCACCAGGGAGGAUAUUGCCAAUGAUCUCCGCAUCGGUGGGGGGUCUCUUGCCUCAACCUCACAAAUUCAGGGGAUACUCCAUCUCCAUGUCCUGUGGAAGAACAACUCCUGAGUCAAGUACAAAGGAGCACCGACAGUAACCACCGUCCAAUCAUCACAAAACACGCAAAAAGAAUUCUCAUCGUGUAACUCUCCUAAGAGUCAUCAUGCCAAAAACAAACACACCUCAACGUCGAUGGCAGAGAGCCCCCAUACUAACGCUUGCAUACUAACUUAAUGGUGCUUUCAUACUAAGCCCGGUUCACUUAAUUGGUACAAUAUGACGCGCCAAGCUUGUAUUAAAACCCAUUCGCAGUCUGCCGCGACUAGCAUCACUUAACGUACCAAUUUAGUAGACCCGUCUUAGCAUACCUAGCAUUGCUCUAUGAAACCAUCCAAGAUCAUAACUUUGUCGGCAAAAUCAGUCGAAACAUCUAACUGCAUUCCCGACGCUAAAAUGGCCAAGGGCUGGCACGCCGCCACUCAUUCUGCGCUACUGAACACCGACUAGGAACGGCCGCAGCACAGGGCCAAUUCAUCCCAAAAGGUUCAGAGUCGCAGUUCAAUUACUUGGAUACGCAAGGCUUGAAAAAGGUGACGAAUUCAGUUCGACAGGAGUUGAACGCGAAGUCGCUGUAGAGAGAGAGAGAGAGAGAGGGUGACGGACUCGGGGGCUGUGGCGGCGGCUGCAAGCGCUCAGCCAAAGCUGUGGUGGCUGGGGACAGUGGAGCGCGGCUGCGGCGAUUGCGGCGGUUGCGGCUACACGGCAUGAAGUGUGGCUAUGGUUGCCACGGAGCCGCCGGUCUACGGCGGCGCCGAUGGGGCUUCCGAGGUGGCGGUCGAUGGUCGGUGGCGGAUGAGCGAAGGGCUUUGGCAGGAGCGUUUGGCGAUUCCAAUUUCACUCUAUGCUUUCCGGGGGAAAUGUAGAUAUUGAGAAAAUGGAGGGGUGGAAAAUCGGAAAUGUAAAGGGCGGUUAAAUACAAUGCAUGAAAAUUUGGGGAAUUCUAAAUUUUUACAGUAGAGAAAUUAAAGGAUGCAUUAUAUGUGCAAAAAAAUAAAAUACCAGUUAAUUUUAUCAUGAAAAAAUUGACGAAUGACAUACACAAAAAUAAUAAUUACGAAUAAGUAGCCAUCCUUUUUUAUACCAAUGGCAACUUUUUAAGAGGAAUUAACAUGUUUUAACACAAUUAUGUAGCAAAGUUGAAAACGACACCAGCAGGUAGACGACAUAUAUUUCAUAAUUUAAUUUAACCAACAUGUGAUGUUUUUCAGUGACACGACUUGAUAGAGAUGCUAAAACCAAACUAUUAUAUAUAAAUAUGAAUUCUCAAUUCUGUUUGUUUAAUAUGGAGAUUUGUAUACAUUAUUUGGACCUUUUUAACAUAUGAUAAACCUGAUAUCAUAAUAUCUUUUAAUGGAUGGAGUAAUUUGUAUGAAAUAAAUAUAUAUAUAUAUAUAUAUAUAUAUAUAUAUAUAUAUAUAUAUAUAUAUAUAUAUAACAUAAUGUUUCUAGUAUAACGUAAUGUUUCCAGUAAUCUUCUUCAUCUUAGCAAGGAUUUAGUUGAUGCAAUAAAAUCAUAGACGACUUUAGUCUAUCGAUUAGAAUCCUCAGAAUUAGGGGGCUAGAAUUGAAAAUACUCUAAAGAUAAUGAACAUACCAUAAUUGAAUUUUGCGUGUAUUUAAAACCUCGAAAUCGUGGAUCUAAUGAUAUAAAUCAAAUCAUAUUUAUUAUUUUUUUUUUCAUGAAAUUUUUAACUAAUAGUUGAAAUUAUCCUUAAAAAAUAUAAUGGUUGAGCUUAAAGAAAUGAUUAUGGGAUAGUUUUUACUAUACCGCAAGAAUAACAAAAAACCAAAUAACAAGUAAUUGUAAAUUAUUAUGAGGCCCCACUCCUUUGAGAAUUUGUACCUCACAACUUGUUAUUCUCACAGUAAUCCAAAGACAAUUGUGCUAGUAAAAACCUUCAACUCCAGAGUUCUAUCAUAAGAGAUUAUGCCUUUGGAAAAAGGUACAACAAGUGACUCAUUCGCGAGCAACCAGGACCACCUGUUUCCCAACAUUGCGUCCGGAAAACAGCCCGACCAGGGCCGCUAGACUGUUCUUGAGCCCUUCGACGGUGUCUUCAAUAUAUACAAUCCUUCCCUCUUUAGUGGGAGGCAAAACCAUCUCCAGGAACUUCGGAUAGAGAUGACAAUAAUCAAGCACAUUGAAACCUUCCAUUCGAACCUGCUUCGUAAUGAGUUGCAUCAGGUUGUGCACGCCUUCGGGCUGCUCGAGGUUGUAUUGCGAGAUCAUUCCACAUACCGCGAUUCGACCAUGAAGCUUCAUGUUGAGUAGCACCGCAUCCAGCGUCUUUCCCCCGACAUUUUCGAAGUAGAUGUCGAUCCCCUCAGGGAAGUACCUGAAAGAUUUCGAGAUGGAAAACCGUCAGCUGGAGUCCGCUUCGCGCUCGUGCGCAUACACGUAAGGUGCUUGAUUCGCUCAAUCGUCAUUAGUGUGUUCCAAACUAACCUUUUCAGUGCUGCAUCCAGAUUUGAUUCUUCCUUGUAGUUGAAAGCUUCGUCGAAUCCGAGCUUGUUCUUCAGCAAGUCGACCUAUUUUGCGGAAAUGAAAGAGGAAAUGAAGAGAUUAGUUAACAAAGGGAGUACUUCUGCAUUUAUUUUAGCGGAUUGAUGAGGAUAUACAUCCGACACGGCGAUCCUUGCAGAUGCUAAAUGUAAUCGGGAAACCGAAUUACGCCAUGUCGGAGGGGGGAUGUUCCCUAAACAACUGUCAUUUGAGGAAAUUCGAUAUGUCGGACAAAUGCAAGAAGAUCACCUUUUCGUUGCUGCCGGCACUGCCAACAACAUAGCAACCGAACAACUUCGCAAACUGGCCAACAAGCUGACCAACUGCCCCUGAUGCGGCCGAUACAAAAACAGUUUCUCCUUUCUUAGGAGAGCAUAACUCAAUAAACCCAGCAUAAGCAGUCAGGCCCGACAUGCCUGCAGAGUUCAGGUUUGUAGAAACUAGAAUGAGUGUCAAAAUUUUGCCAAAGCUGAAGAGCAGGAGCGCUACGGCUACAGCUAACUAUCACGAGACACCGCUACUUAUCCAGAAGAGAAGCUGUUAAAAAUAUUUGGAUGUGUACGUGCGGAAGCAUGGUUUUGAUAUUAGUUAUAGUUUUUGGUUAGUGAUGUGUGCAAGUGUAUGAUAUAGGAUGGACAAGGGACAAAAUAAGAUAAUUGAAGGAUAUAAAUUACGAUAUGUGGGGGAAAAUAAUUUUAUUAGUUGAACAAAAUAAUUUGAUGGAGGUAUUGGUAGACACUCUCCAUAUAGUUAUGGUGAAGGUCUAAGACCUCUUAUGGUGGAUGGUUUUGGUAUUAAUUAUAGUUUUUGAUUAGUGAAGUUGUGCAAGUGUAUGAUAUAAUUUGUAGAGGAUGGACAAGGGAUGAGAUAGGAUAGUUCAAGAGAUAAACACAUUUUUUUUAUGGGACAAGGAUAGUUUCGCUAGUUUAUGAAAAUAAUUUUAUAAUAGUUUAUGGUGGAGGAGCUUCACGAUAUGGAGUAUAUUCUCAUGCUCCUGCUCCUCUCACUCUCUUACAUCAAUGGGUUAACAUUUCCACCGACAAAGUACAGCUGAUUCUAGACUUCCCUUAAAUGUUGUCAUUUUCUUCUUUCUUCCUCUAGAGACUUCUAGAUUGGUGCUUCUACGCUUUUCUUUGCCACCUAAGCUAGAUUUUCUUUUUUUAUGGAUUUUUCUUGAUUUUUCUAGCUAAUAUCAAUCUUGAAGUUUCUAAAAAGUUUUAGAGAAAAUGUAUCACAAUUUCUAACGGAAGCUAUCAAAAAGUUCUUGAAUUACACACUCGUUGCAUAAUUCAAUCAACUAAUAGUUCUGCAAAACAUGCAAUAGAACUGUCGAAAGUGUGCAUCAACAGGAAGACUUGGAGAGAAAAAUAUAGUUCAAUAACAUUGAAAGAGCAGAUAUCGAAGAGGGUACCCAAAAGACCGGUGUAGUAAGAGAGGGGAAUGUCGGUGUGUUCGAUCUUAAAGCAAGUCUCUGGCACGGGAAGUAGACUGUACUCCUCCCAUCCGGUGAGGCCCCAAACCAAAUCGCCUUUCUUGAAAUUCGGAUGCCCAGAUUCCAGGACUCUCGCCACUCCAAAUCCGGUAACAGGCUGCACAGAUGUGUUGACACACGGUAACGCAUUUGGCGAACAUAAAUUUCGAAGCAAUUCUGAUGAAUCGCAGGCACAAUGCUUACAGAGCCGUGUUCAGUGUUGUUUCGUUUCAAACAAUUAUGUACUUUGUUCUAUACCCUGUGCAAGCUACUUUCAUCAGUCAUCAUCCUAACACAGUGAAUGGAAGCGAUGAAAGCAAGCCGUGUUGUCUAGUUAAAUAUGAUUUUAUCGGACCACCCAAAUGCUAAACGUGAAAGCUUCUCUACCUACGAACAUAAACUCGGUUCUUUGAAUUCACCAAAUCCUCCAACACAUUUUUCAGGAACUAUUGGGACACAUUUAGAGCAAUGGAUAUGCUUUCAAAGACGCCUCGAAUCGGUCGUACCUCAGAGAUUACAAUAACUCAACCCAUAAACAAUAAUAGGAUACAAAGAAAGAAACAAUCCUUUGAUAAAUCACAGUCGUGACAAAAAUGCAACGUAUAACCAGUUCUGAAAUACUAUUUACCUGAAAUACUAUUUAGCCAGCCUGAGAAUCAACGAUCCAAGAACAGUAGCAAGCAAAAGCAUGCAAAAUCAAGUUCUCAGAAACCAAUGUAAAACGACACAAAUUUUCACAAGGAACAAAACAAAAAGAAGAGUUGAGCCGGGCUCACCGAACCAGGUUGGAAGGAGGCGAUAUAGCUCUCAGCCGGGUCGGUGAGCUUCUGCAUACGGAUUCUCAUGUAAGGAUCACAGGAGAGGUAGAGAUUCUUCACCAGCACUCCCGUGGAGCCUUCGGCGACCGCAGUCGUCAGUUCAAUGGUCGACUCCGUCACCUCCAUGUCUGACUCUUUGGGGAAGGCUCCCUUCGCAAGAAAGUCCCUGAACAUCACCUGCUUGUUCCUCAUCCUUUCUUCUCUCUGCUUCUCUCUCCUCUCGACAGAAUGCGCGAAAGAUCCAAGAAAGCUAAAAACUUAGGAGAGGUGCGGCGUUUUGGAGCGUCUCUAUAUGCAGAGAUGGAGUGAUGUUUCUCAGCUGUCAUGGGGUGGAGAUGCUAAGACCUACUAGAACAGACAAGUCUCGCAACAAGAUUCGCACACGGCAAUGAUGCUAGGUGAAGCAAGAACCGGACAAACUCACGCAUCAAGCAAACAAACCAAGCAAGUGUAGCCACUCAUGCAUCAGAUCAACACAAUACAGCAGGCACUCAUGCUCCGUUUGACCGUCUCAACCUGCCAAGGAACUUCAAAAACCCCAGAAAAAGACGACGACAAUGACGUCGGGCGUCCACUGUCAACCCGCGAACAGAUAGCGUUCAUACUGUCAGAACCACGUCUGCACGAUAGCAUCCACGCCUCGCUCCAUAAAGAGAAGACAACAAGAUGGAUUUGUCUGAGGGUCGUUUUCCUGAAUGGGGUUGCCUUCUCGGACAGAUUCAACCCCCAGUCUUUAUCACUGUCGAUCGACUUUAUUGAGACGAUCAAGUCCAUGGCACCUCCACGUCACAGAUUCAACCCCUAGUCUUUAACCCCCAUUAAGUGAUUUUCCACCAACGUGGGAUGAACUUAAUUAGCAAGACGUUAAAAAUAUUUAUGACUCAAUUGACACAAUUAAAAGAAUUAUAGUUGAAUUUGCAAAAGUGCUAUAGAUCUAGGACUUUUUAAUAAUUUUCUUGAAUUCAAUUUAGUAUGUCUACAAUAAUUGUUCCAUUUUAUCUCUCUUUCUCUAAACUCAAGUUAAAAUCUUAAGGCUGCACGGGUAGCCUUCGAGUGAACGAGGAGUGAUCAAGAGUGAAUCGAUCGUCCCAUGACACAUGCACAUCCCAAACCCGAAUUUAUUAUCUAAGUAACACGAACACGCGACACGACAUGACACGACACGUCGACACAUCAUUUCUCAAAAAUAAAAAAUUCUAACACGUUGUAUAUUAAAUGAAUAUUUUUAUUUUUAAUUAAUUUGAUAAAAAAAAAAAGAGCCUACAAUAAAUUUACACUAAUAAUAUUAAUCAAUUGACAAAAGUUAUUGAUGAAACUAAUGACUAAUAAAAAAUUAGAAUCAAUUUAUUUAAAUAAAUCUGUGAUCUUCAACCAUAAUUUAUCAUCAUUUAACAUUUAGUACUUUUUUUAAAAUUACUUUUUAAUCUUAUUUAUUUAUUUUUCUAAUUAAAAAAAAUCCCGUCCACCACCCAACCCACCNNNNNNNNNNNNNNNNNNNNNNNNNNNNNNNNNNNNNNNNNNNNNNNNNNNNNNNNNNNNNNNNNNNNNNNNNNNNNNNNNNNNNNNNNNNNNNNNNNNNACCCAAUUUAUUUCUCUUUUCUUUCCCUCCCCCACCACCUAACACCUGACAGACUGUCACAAUAGUAAUGAUUUUUCCAUUUGUCUCUCUUCUCUGAACUCCAGGUUAAAUACUCGAAACUUCAACGUAGCCUAGCCUAGCACGAAACCACCUUAUUUUAUGCACGCACCAAACCUAUUAUGGAUGAUGUUUUCUCCUUGAGCUUUUGGGCCGGAACAAUUAUUCUUCACGAGUGUGAAUCUAUAACCAAGAAAAGAUAAACCUUUAAAAAGGAGAUGAUAGCAGCUGCAUGGAUAUGUUACUGUGGACAAAUUUUAUCAAUUUUUUAAUAUGUUUUGCAAUUUUUUUCUUUCUUUUUCUUUUUUAUUUAUUUAAAAAAAAAUUCUUUCUUUGCUGGUUGCCCAAACUCGGUGAUGGCCGAACACCAACCACAAGCUACCAUUAACCAAGGUUGUCCUCAUCAACCUCAAGCGAGAUCACCCUCCCUAGGAUCUAGUGAGGGGCGACCUCAUGACCUCAAGUAAGGCCAGACCUCGUUGGCCUUCAAAGAGGGUCAGUGUCAACCUUUCUAUUCAAAGCAAAGAGACAAAAAGACUCUGCAUUACCCACCACGGUGGUGGCGUAGUGGUUUGAGCAAGGGACCUCUCACGAAAGGGCUUGAGUUCGAAACUCUGCGUCGUCGGUGUUUAAGUACCAGCCGGUCUUACCUGGAGCACGUGGGUGGUGGGGUCCUCACGUGUCUCCCCUGGGUUUACGCUGACCGCGAACGGCGGGUGGCGGCUCCCAGGGUCACCAAAAAAAAAAAAAAAAGACUCUGCAUUUCUCCAAAAAGGCUUGAUCUCAACCUUGAUUCUCCGUGGAAGAAGUCUUCUCACCUCAUACCUGACCUCACUAAAGGCUAGUGAUGGUUUGGCCUUGCUAGUUUCGAGUGGGGUAUCAACCUCAAAAACUCUAAAUUGGUAUUGUUGUAAUAAAUUUACCACAAAUUAAUUAUUUUGUCGCAAAAAACUUUAAAUUGGUUUACCAAUGAUAAAUUUAUCCUCUAUUAAUUUUCGUUGAAUUUUACUGUUAAAUUAUUAAGUUGGAUGACAUAUAACAGUUGAUGAUGAGCAUGUCAAUUUUGGGUUUUACCCUCUAUUUGUCACAAGUAUACCAAUUUGUGACUUUUUUUUAUAGUAUUAAUCCAAUUUAAUGGAAAUUAGCAUAAGGUAAAAAUGUCAUAAAUGUACUGAUUUAAAGUUUUUUGUGGCAAGAACAUUGGUUUGAGGUAACUUUGUUACAUAUGUAUGAGUUUUGAUUUUUUCGUGUAUUAACCCAAAAUAAAAUAUCAAUUAAUUUUAUCAUGAAAAUUUGACAAAUGGAGUACAAAAGAUAACAAUUUUAAAUAAGUAGUGAUCCAUUUUACAUGAAUGACUACUUUCAACACAAAUUAACAUGUUUAAACACAAUUAUAUACCAAACUCGAAAAAUGACACCGAUUAAAUGCACAUAAAUUUUAUUAUGAAAUAUGUCAAAAUAAAGUGUUUUUCACUAAUACGACUUGAUAUGAAUACUAAAAGGUAUCAUACGUAGACGUGAAAUAAUAUAUAUAUAUAUAUAUAUAUAUAUAUAUAUAUAUAUAUAUAUUGCAGAUGGAGUAUUUUGUAUAAAAUAAAUAACAGAUAUGACAUAAUGUUUCUGGUAAUCUUCUUCAUCUCCCCAAGGAUUUAGUCGAUGCAAUAAAACCAAAGACGACUCGUCUAUCGAUUAGAUUCCUCAAAAAUAGGGACCGCAAAUGAAAAUACUCUUAACGAUAAUGAAUAGACCAUAAUCAGAUUUUGCGUGUAUAUGAAAAAAAUGAAAUUCAGAUCCAACUACAUAAGUCAAAAUGAUGAAUUGUAUUUCUUAUUUAUUUGCGAAAUAUAAGUAGUUGAACUUAUUCUAAAAAAAUAUUACAGUUGAACUUAGUUACUCCAGAGCUCUAUCACAAGAAACUGCCAAUGGAAAAGAAGAAGAUCCUAUCGGAAACACAAGCAAAAGAGACUAUGCCAGUGGAAAAGGUACAACAAGUGACUUAUUCGCGAGAAACUAGGACCACCUGUUUCCCGACAUCGCGACCGGAAAACAGCCCAACUGGGGCUGCCGGACCGUUCUCGAGCCCUUGGAAGGUGUCUUCCACAUAUACUAUCCUUACCUCUUUUAUCUGAGGCAAAACCAUAUUCAGGAACUUUGGAUAGAGAUGAUAAUAAUCGAGCACACUGAAACCUUCCAUUCGAACCCGCUUCAUGCUUAUUUGAAUCAGGUUAGGCACGCCUUCGGGCUGCUCAAGGUUGUACUGCGAGAUCAUUCCACAUACCGCAAUUCAACCUUGAAGCUUCAUAUUGAAUAGCACUGCAUCCAACGUCUUUCCCCCCGACAUUUUCAAAGUAGAUGUCGAUGCCCUCAGGGAAGUACCUGAAAGAUUUUAAGAUGGAAACCGUCAACUCAAUUCGGCUUCACGAUCGUGUGCAUAUGUGUAACAGCAGUUGAUUCGCUCAAUCAUCAUUGGCGUGUUCCAGACGAACCUUUUCAAUGCUGCAUCCAGAUUUGAUUCUUCCUUGUAGUUGAAAGCUUCAUCGAAUCCGAGCUUGUUUUUCAGCAAGUCAACCUAUAUUGCAGAAGUAAAAGGGGAAAUGAAGAGACUAGCUAACGAAGGGAGUACUUCUGCAUUUAUUUUAGCAGAUUGAUGAGGAUAUACAUCCGACACGGCGAUCAUUGCGGAUGCUAAACGUGUUUAGGAAACAAAAUUAGUGCCAUGUUAGACCGUUCCCUAAACAGUUGCCAUUUGAGGAAAUACGAGAUGUUGGACGAAUGUAAGAAGAUUACCUUUUCUUUGCUGCCGGCGCUUCCAACAACUUAGCAACCAAACAACUUCGCAAACUGGCCAGCAAGCUGACCGACUGCCCCUGAUGCCGCGGAUAUAAAAACGGUCUCUCCUUUCUUAGGAGAGCAUAACUCGAAAAACCCAGCAUAGGCUCUCAGGCCCGGCAUGCCUGCAUAGUUCAGGUUUGCAGUAACUAGACUGAGUACCGAAGUUUUGCUAAAGCUAAAGAGUAAGAGCAAUAUGGCUAGGGCUAACUAUCACGAAACAACGCUACUUACCCAGAAGAGAAGCUAUCAAGAAAUUCUUGACUUACAUACUUGUUGCAUAAUUCAAUCGACUAACGGUGCUGCAGAACUUGCAAAAGAAACUGUUGAAAGUGUGCAUCGACAGGAAGACUUUGAGGGGGAAAAAACAUAGUUCAUUAACAUUGAAAGAGCAAAUACGUUAGACGAUCGAAGAGUGUACCCAAAAGACCGGUGUAGUAAGAGAGGGGAACAUCGGUGUGUUCGAUCUUAAAGCAAGUCUCUGGCGCGGGAAGUAGACUGUACUCCUCCCAUCCGGUGAGGCCCCAAACCAAAUCGCCUUUCUCGAACUUCCGAUGCCCAGAUUCCAGCACUCUCGCCACUCCAAAUCCGGUAACAGGCUGCAUAGAUGUGUUGACACGUUAACACACUUUAGCGAACACAAAUUUCGAAGCGAUUCAUCAGAAUCACAAGCGCAAUGCUUUAUGAUCCUACGUAAACUCCGCUUAUUACAGAAGCGUGCUCAUUACAAAAAUGCAACAUAUAACCAGCCCUGAAAUUCUAUAUAGCCAGCCUGAGAAUCAACAAUUUAAGAACAGCAGCAAGCAAAAGCAUGCAAAGUCAAAUCCCUCGGAAACUAAUGUAAAAACGACACAAAUCUUCACUAGGGACAAAGCAUUAAUCAAUCCCAAAUCAAGUUCAUCAGCCAAGGAAUUUCAUCUUCUCGUCAUUACUGUUUUCAUCUUGAAACAACAAAAAAGGAAAAAAGAGUCGAGCUGGGCUCACCGAACCAGGUUGGAAGGAGGCGACAUAGCUCUCAGCCGGGUCGGUGAGCUUCCGCAUGCCACCCCUCAUGUAAGGAUCGCAGGAGAGGUAGAGAUUCUUCACCAGCACUCCCUCGGAGCCUUCGGCUACAGUUCUCGUCACAUCAACGGUCGACUCAGUCACCUCCAUGUCCGACUCCUUAGGGAAGGCUCCCUUCGCGAGGAAGUCCCUGAAUAUCACCUGCUUGUUCCUCAUCCUUUCCUUCUUCUCUUUACUUCUCUUUUCUUUUCUCUCGAUGGAAUGAGCGAAUGAUCCAAGAAGCUAAAAACUUCAGGAGUUGGGGAAGUUCGCAGCGUCUCUAUACGUAGGGAUGGAUUGAUGUUUCUCAGGUGUGGUCGGGUGGAAAUAGCAAGACUAGGACAAGGCGCCUCGUGCAUGCUAGAACAGGCAGAAGUCUCGCAACAAGACUCGUGCACGACAUCAAUACUAGGUGAAGCAAGACGCUGACGACUCACGCAUUAAGCAAACGACCAAGCGCAGCAUGUCAACCCGCGAACAUAAAACAAGAUGUCAUCAGUGACCUCUAGGCGCCUCCGUUGGGUCCCCCUCUCUAUCGUCUCGACGAGUCAUAGCUCGUGGAGAUUGAUUGGCUCCGGCCCUAUAGCUCAAGGAGAGAAUUCAAAACAAGAUGUUUUCGUGCCAGUCUAGAGUGCCAUGAUUUUUUUCUGAGUAAUUAGCCUAGGUCUAGAGAUAGAGAGAUGAAAUGGAAUAAUUAUGACAUAAGUGUAGUAUGCGACUAAAUUGAAUUUAGAUUAUUGAAAAUAGAGUUUAAUUCCCUAAAAAAAAAAACCAACUUUAAAUUCAAUCUCGAUUUCCUCGUAAACUUUUUGUUUUGAGUAAAAAAAAAUCACAAACUUUUAGAGAAAAUUACCAAAAAAGUCACAAACCUAUUAUAUUAGUAUAUUUUUAGUUAUAAACCUUUCGAUUAAACCAAUUUAGUCAUUAACUCAUUCACUUUACCAAUUCAGUCCAUUUGAGCAAUUUAGGCUAGAAACUGCUGAUGUAAAUGCCAGCCAUCCUACAUGGUAUAACUAGUGUCGAUGUAAACUUUCUAAAAAAAAAUUAAAUAUUUUUAUUAAUUUGUCUUUUCUUUUUUCUUUUUUCUUUUUUUCCUUCUCUUUUCCUUCUUUUAUUUUUUCUUUCCUUUCUCUUUUUUUUUUCCUUCCUUUUUCAUUAUUUUCCUUCGCUAGUCACUAGCCUCUAUGCUGGUCAGCCAAGGUCACCGGUUGCAGGUGAAGGUGAGGGCUGGACAAGGCCACACAUCGCUAAAUCCGAUGAGGGGACCAUUCUUUUAGAAUUUUCAUUUAUUAUUAUUGUUGUUGUUGUUGUUGUUGCUGUUGCUGUUGCUGCUGUUGUUAUAAUUAUUUCUAUUAUUUCUUCUUCUUCUUUUUACCUUCCCUUCUUUCUCUAGUUCGUCAUCGAGCCUUGAUGAUGGUCGACAACUGGCCAAUGAUGAGGGCCGAUGAGGUUGACCUUGGGAGAGGCUUGCCAUCGCCAAUGACCACUAGAGAAAGAAGGUCAACCUUUCCGAUCCUCGCCUCUCAUCAAUCGCCUACUAGAGAAAGAAGGGAAGAAAAAAGAAAAGGAAAAAUAAUAAAUAAAAAAGAUAAAAAUUCAAAAAAUAUUAAAUAUUAUUAAAAACUAUCAACGUCAAUGCUGGCUACGCCCCAUAAGAUGCCAGGUAUUUACGUUAGCGAUUUUCGGCCUAAAUUAGCCGGAUGAAUUCAAUUAGCAAAAUAUGAAAAGGUUUAGGAUUGAAAUUAUAAAAGUGCAAAAAAUUUCUGACUUUUUUUGAUAAAUUUCUCUUCCAUGAGUAACAUUUUUGGUAUGUAAUGAAAUUGAUGAUUGAUACUUUCUUCUUUAACUAAUAGCUAGUAAAAGAUCAUAAAAGUCAGUUAAAUCAAAUUUAAAGAGGUUAGUAAACGUUAACUUUGUCGGCAAAAUCAGUAGGAACAUCUAAAUGCAUUCCAGACGCUAAAAUGGCCAAGGGCUGGCACGCCGCCACUCAUUCUGCGCUACUGAGAACCAACUAGGAAUGGCCGCAGUUCAAUUACUUGGAUAAGCAAAGCUUGAAAAAGGUGACGAAUUCAGUUCGAUAGGAGUUGAACGCGAAGUCGCUGUAGAGAGAGAGAGAGGGUGACGGACUCGGGGGCUGGGGACGGUGGAGCCGGCCUCGGCGAUUGGUGGCAGUCACUGCUACACGGCGUGAAGUGCAGCUGCGGUUGCCACGGAGUCGCCGGUCUAUGGCGGCACCGAUGGGGCUUCCGAGGUGGCGUCGAUGGUCAGUGGCGGAGGAGCGAAGGGCUUUGGCAGGAGCGUUUGGCGAUUCCAAUUUCACUCUAUGCUUUCUGGGGGGAAAUGUGGAUAUUCAGAAAAUGGAGGGGUGGAAAAUCGGAAAUAGAAAGGACGGUUAAAUAAAAUGAAUGAAAAUUUGAGGAAUUCUAAAUUUUUACAGUAGAGAAAUUAAAGGAUAAAAUACCAAUUAAUUUUAUCAUGAAAAAUUGAACACAAAAAUAAUAAUUACGAAUAAGCAGUCAUCCUUUUUUUAUAGGAAUGGCAACUUUUAAGAGGAAUUAACGUGUUUUAACACAAUUAUGUAGCAAAGUUAAAAAUGACACUAGUUAGAUGUACAUAUAUAUUUCAUAAUUUAAUUUAACCAACAUAUGAUGUUUUUCAAUGACACGACUUGAUAGAGAUACUAAAACCAAACUAUGAUCGUAUUUCUUAUUUAUUUUUUUCAUGAAAUUUUUAACUAAUAGUUGAAAUUAUUCUUAAAAAAUAUAAUAGUAGAACUCAAAGAAAUGAUUAUGAGAUAGUUUUUACUACACUGUGAGAAAAAAAAAAUCAAAUAACAAGUAAUUGUUAAAAGGCCCCACUCCUUGAAAAAUUUGUACCUCUAUUAUUCUCACAAUAGUUCAAAGACAAUUAUGCUAAUAAAAAUCUUAAACUUAUAACUCCAGGGUUCUAUCAUAAGAGACUAUGCUAGUGGAAAAGGUACAACAAGUGACUCAUUCGCGAGCAACCAGGACCACCUGUUUCCCGACAUUGUGGCCGGAAAACAGAUCGACCAUGGCCGCCGGACCACUCUCGAGCCCUUCGACGGUGUCUUCAAUAUAUACUAUCCUUCCCUCUUUAGUGGGAGGCAAAACCAUCUCCAGGAACUUCGGGUAGAGAUGAUAAUAAUCAAUCACAUUGAAA